AUGUGGGGCCCCCAGUGUCAGCCGCAUCCCCAAGGCACCCUGGUGACAGUGAAGGUCAGAAUAAACGGCUUUGGUCGUAUUGGGCGCCUGGUCACCAGGGCUGCUUUAACUCUGGCAAAGUGGAUAUUGUCGCCAUCACUGACCCCUUCACUGACCUCAACUGCAUGGUCUACAUGUUCCAGUGUGAUUCCACCCAUGGCAAAUUCCAUGGCACAGUCAAGGCUGAGAACGGGAAGCUUGUCCUCAAUGGAAAUCCCAUAACCAUCUUCCAGGAGCGAGAUCCCACCAAAAUCCAGUGGGGUGAGGCAGGCGCUGAGUAUGUUGUGGAGUCCACUGGCAUCUUCACCACCAUGGAGAAGGCUGGGGCUCACCUACAGGGGGGUGCCAAAAGGGUCGUCAUCUCUGCCCCUUCUGUGGAUGCCCCCCCAUGUUUGUGAUGGGUGUGAACCAUGAGAAGUACGAAAACAGCCUCUGCAUUGUCAGCAAUGCCUCCUGCACCACCAGCUGCUUAGCCCCCUUGGCUAAGGUCGUCUAGGACAACUUUGGCAUUGUGGAGGGACUCAUGACCACAGUCCAUGCCAUCACUGCCACCCAGAAGACUGUGGAUGGCCCCUCUGGGAAGUUGUGGUGUGAUGGUCACAGGGCUUUCCAGAACAUCAUCCCUGCCUCAACUGGUGCAGCCAAGGCUGAGGGCAAGGUCAUCCUUUAGCAGAGAGAGAAGCUCACUGGCAUGGCCUUCCAGGUCCCCACUGCCAACAUGUCCAUCAUUGACCUCACCUGCCAUCUGGAGAAGGCUGCCAAAAUGACAUACCUUUAG